rnacentral:misc_RNA from 1 species
GAAAUGCGAUAAGUAGUGUGAAUUGCAGAAUUCAGUGAAUCAUCGAAUCUUUGAACGCACAUUGCGCCCCUUGGUAUUCCAUGGGGCAUGCCUGUUCGAGCGUCAUUUGUACCCUCAAGCUCUGCUUGGUGUUGGGUGUUUGUCCCCGUCUCCGCGCGUGGACUCGCCCCAAAGUGAUUGGCAGCCGGCGUACUGGUCCCGGAGCGCAGCACAUGUCGCGCAAACGAGUGCCUUGGUACGGCGGCGUCCAUAAGCCCCUCUCUCACGCUCUUGACCUCGGAUCAGGUGAGGAUAACCGCUGAACUUAAGC